AGCCUGGCUCCGUUGCUCUCCCCCUGGGACUCGACAAAGUAUCUCUCUUUUUUUGACAACCCUUCUCUACUUGUACUUGAACUCUUUUUGUGGGAUUGGGCAUUUCUCUCAUUUGGAGUUCCCCAUAUCUGCCUGAACCUCUCGCUGGGCCGAUCUUGGAUUAACCUGUAUCCUCUCCAAAAGGCAAGGAAAUCGCCUCUUGCAGCUGCCCGGGAGUUAUUCAGCAUUACUCGCGACUUCUUGCCCAGCCUACGAAGAUACGUCGUCCAUAUCUCUAGGCUAGCUUAUGGUGUGCUCUUCAGUGUGAGAGAUCUUGUACAGGUCUCCUCUGCCGGCUCUGCCGGCUCUGCCGGUGUUGGAACGCCCAAAGGCAAGCAAAAGGGCUGAGGAGAGCCGCUCCAAGGGAGGGAGGAGGGGACGGCAAUCGCAAGGCUAAUAAAUAACCAUAUCCCUUGCUUUGCUUCGCUCAAUUGAAGACCAGAGAAUGUCUUCUCUUCCGCAGCUGGCCCCGCCGGGUUCGAGUACCUACUCGUCAAAUACUUUGCACGUCGG
rnacentral:sRNA from 2 species